GAAGGUGUGCUGUGAGGCAUGCUGGAGGUAUCAGAAGUGCGAAUGCUGACAUAAGUAACGAUAAAGCGGGUGAAAAGCCCGCUCGCCGGAAGACCAAGGGUUCCUGUCCAACGUUAAUCGGGGCAGGGUGAGUCGACCCCUAAGGCGAGGCCGAAAGGCGUAGUCGAUGGGAAACAGGUUAAUAUUCCUGUACUUGGUGUUACUGCGAAGGGGGGACGGAGAAGGCUAUGUCAGCCGGGCGACGGUUGUCCCGGUUUAAGCGUGUAGGUGUGUGUUCCAGGCAAAUCCGGUUCACUUUAACACUGAGGCGUGAUGACGAGGCACUACGGUGCUGAAGUGAUAAAUGCCCUGCUUCCAGGAAAAGCCUCUAAGCAUCAGGUAACACGAAAUCGUACCCCAAACCGACACAGGUGGUCAGGUAGAGAAUACCAAGGCGCUUGAGAGAACUCGGGUGAAGGAACUAGGCAAAAUGGUGCCGUAACUUCGGGAGAAGGCACGCUGAUAUGUAGGUGAAG
rnacentral:rRNA from 1 species